GAUGAACGCUGGCGGCGUGCCUAAUACAUGCAAGUCGAGCGAACAGACGAGGAGCUUGCUCCUCUGACGUUAGCGGCGGACGGGUGAGUAACACGUGGAUAACCUACCUAUAAGACUGGGAUAACUUCGGGAAGCCGGAGCUAAUACCGGAUAAUAUAUUGAACCGCAUGGUUCAAUAGUGAAAGACGGUUUUGCUGUCACUUAUAGAUGGAUCCGCGCCGCAUUAGCUAGUUGGUAAGGUAACGGCUUACCAAGGCGACGAUGCGUAGCCGACCUGAGAGGGUGAUAGGCCACACUGGAACUGAGACACGGUCCAGACUCCUACGGGAGGCAGCAGUAGGGAAUCUUCCGCAAUGGGCGAAAGCCUGACGGAGCAACGCCGCGUGAGUGAUGAAGGUCUUCGGAUCGUAAAACUCUGUUAUUAGGGAAGAACAAAUGUGUAAGUAACUAUGCACGUCUUGACGGUACCUAAUCAGAAAGCCACGGCUAACUACGUG
rnacentral:rRNA from 1 species